rnacentral:rRNA from 1 species
CAUGCAAGUUCGAACGGGUAACAGGGAAGCAGCUUGCUGCUUCGCUGACGAGUGGCGGACGGGUGAGUAAUGUCUGGGGAUCUGCCUGAUGGAGGGGGAUAACUACUGGAAACGGUAGCUAAUACCGCAUAACGUCGCAAGACCAAAGAGGGGGACCUUCGGGCCUCUUGCCAUCAGAUGAACCCAGAUGGGAUUAGCUAGUAGGUGGGGUAACGGCUCACCUAGGCGACGAUCCCUAGCUGGUCUGAGAGGAUGACCAGCCACACUGGAACUGAGACACGGUCCAGACUCCUACGGGAGGCAGCAGUGGGGAAUAUUGCACAAUGGGCGCAAGCCUGAUGCAGCCAUGCCGCGUGUAUGAAGAAGGCCUUCGGGUUGUAAAGUACUUUCAGCGAGGAGGAAGGCGGUAAGGUUAAUAACCUUAUCGAUUGACGUUACUCGCAGAAGAAGCACCGGCUAACUCCGUGCCAGCAGCCGCGGUUAAU